rnacentral:rRNA from 1 species
AUUGAACGCUGGCGGCAGGCUUAACACAUGCAAGUCGAGCGGAGCGAGGGUGCUUGCACCUUAGCUUAGCGGCGGACGGGUGAGUAAUGCUUAGGAAUCUGCCUAUUAGUGGGGGACAACAUUCCGAAAGGAAUGCUAAUACCGCAUACGCCCUACGGGGGAAAGCAGGGGAUCUUCGGACCUUGCGCUAAUAGAUGAGCCUAAGUCGGAUCAGCUAGUUGGUGGGGUAAAGGCCUACCAAGGCGACGAUCUGUAGCGGGUCUGAGAGGAUGAUCCGCCACACUGGGACUGAGACACGGCCCAGACGCCUACGGGAGGCAGCAGUGGGGAAUAUUGGACAAUGGGCGGAAGCCUGAUCCAGCCAUGCCGCGUGUGUGAAGAAGGCCUUUUGGUUGUAAAGCACUUUAAGCGAGGAGGAGGCUCUUAAGGUUAAUACCCUUGAUGAGUGGACGUUACUCGCAGAAUAAGCACCGGCUAACUCUGUGCCAGCCGCCGCCGUAAAAC